ensembl:lncRNA
CUGCUGAGCUCUUUUCUGUGGUCUCUACUCUCCUCCCACUGGCCAUGUGGCUUCAGAGCUAGGAAAAGAAUCAACAGUUUAGACAAGGCUCGGGCUUCCCAGGUAGUGCUGGUGGUAAAGAACCCACCUGCCAAUGCAGUUGACUUAAGAGAUACAGGUUCGGUGCCUGGAGGAGGAAAUGGCAACUCACUCCAAUAUUCUUGCCUGGGAAAUCCCAUGGACAGAGAAGCCUGGCAGGACACGACUGAAGCGACUUGGCAAGUAUGGAGUGCAUUCAGGAGAGCUAAGGAGCACUAAACACAGAGUUCAGAGUCUGUGUUUGGAAAGGUGGCUGAGCAUGAUCAGCAUGAACAGGCCUAAGAUGGAGUCCAGGCCCUAUGAAUUCCUUCUUCAUUGGCAGUUAUAGUAUUUGUAAAACAACUCAAGAACAUGCAUCAGACAGAGUCUGUGACUCUCUCGUCCUCAUCAGUAACUGCUUGGUUUGGUACAGGGAGAAGGGUGAGGGAAGGGUGGGGCCACCGCAGGCUAAUAGAUUCCGUUAAUAUCCUGAGGCCCACCCUAAGGUGGGUCCCCACCCUCUCCAGCCCUGAGUUCCUGCCUGAGUCAGCCUGGGUAAAGGGUAGGGAGUAGCCACUCCCAUCCAUAGUCUGGAGGGAGCCAGAGCAGAGGGAGGCUCACUUGGGGAUCCUACUGUAACAGGAGGGAAAGGGGCAAAGCACUACUUUUGAAAGAGUGACAUAGCCCAAGGACACAACAUAAACCGAUUAGAAUCAAAUGGGACUGAGAUGGCAGACAAGACUAGACCUUAAUCCUCAACCAGCAAGUGAAAAAAAAUGACACACCCAGAAGUGCCAGGACAGUUCCAAGGCACUGUCAAGACUAAGGAGAGGAUGGUGGCCCAAAUCCUGGAAAUCUCUGCCCCUUCCCAAAAAUAGUUGGAAUAAUCCUCCCACUCAUUAACAUAUGAAAUGACCCAGCUGAUAAGAACUAACCACACCCGGUUUGGCUGCUGCGCUCCCUCUUUGCCAUGGCCUACACUCUGUGGAGUGUGCCUCUUUCUGUAGCUGAAUAAAUUCAUUU